rnacentral:sRNA from 1 species
GAGACAGAGUUUCACCAUGUUGGCCAGGCUGGUCUCGAACUGCUGACCUCAGGUGAUCCGCCUGCCUCAGCCUCCCAAAAUGCUGGGAUUACAGGUGUAAGCCACCACGCCUGGCCUCUCUGAAUAUAUUUUUACAGAGUACUUUCACAUACACUGUCUUAUUAACCCUACAAGAUCAGUGGUAUUGUCCCCAUUUUUCUGAUUAAGAGAACUAGAUUCAGAGGUGAAGUUACUUCACCCAGAGAUCUCACAGCUAGUAAGAAGAGGAAUUAGGACGAGGACUCAGAUCUUGGGACUCACUCACCAGUGCUUUUUCUACUCUGUCUUGUGCUGCGGAGCCCUGGAGGUGCCCAUCUCAAGCACAGGCAAGGUCGGGUGUGGACUGUGUGGACUCUGAGAGCAGGUGGGGAUGGGUCUUUAGAGCCGAGGCUGCAUGUUGUGCCUGGGUCAGUCCACCUUCCUUCGCUUUAACCACCCGGCUGAAGCCAAGUGGAUGAAAAGCAUGAUUCCAGCAGGGGGCCGAGCCCCUGGGCCCCCCUACAGCCCUGUUCCUG